GUCUUACCCCUGCUUCAACCUGAAACCGUGUGCCUUUAAGCCGUCAGGGCCCUGAGGGGUGAUGGCGUGCCUUUUGAAGAAUGAGCCUGCGAGUUAGUGGCGCGUGGCGUGCUUAACCCGUGUGGGGUAUGCGUAGCGAAAGCGAGUCCGAAACAUGGCGUUGUGUCGCGCGUCCUAGACCCGAAGGCGGGGUGAUCUACCCAUGGUCAGGUUGAAGCAGGGGUAAGAC
rnacentral:rRNA from 1 species